GACGAACGCUGGCGGCGUGCUUAACACAUGUAAGUCGAACGGUAAGGCCCUUCGGGGUACACGAGUGGCGAACGGGUGAGUAACACGUGGGUGAUCUGCCCUGCACUUCGGGAUAAGCCUGGGAAACUGGGUCUAAUACCGGAUAGGACCAUUGCCUGCAUGGGUGGGGGUGGAAAGCUUUUGCGGUGUGGGAUGGGCCCGCGGCCUAUCAGCUUGUUGGGGGGGUGAUGGCCUACCAAGGCGACGACGGGUAGCCGGCCUGAGAGGGUGACCGGCCACACUGGGACUGAGAUACGGCCCAGACUCCUACGGGAGGCAGCAGUGGGGAAUAUUGCACAAUGGGCGCAAGCCUGAUGCAGCGACGCCGCGUGAGGGAUGACGGCCUUCGGGUUGUAAACCUCUUUCAGCACCGACGAAGCGCAAGUGACGGUAGGUGCAGAAGAAGGACCGGCCAACUACGUGCCAGCCGCCGCCGCGG
rnacentral:rRNA from 1 species